rnacentral:rRNA from 1 species
UUUGAGUGAGUGGCGGACGGGUGAGUAACACGUGGGUAACCUGCCCUAAAGUGGGGGAUAACAUUUGGAAACAGAUGCUAAUACCGCAUAAAACCUAACACCGCAUGGUGUAGGGUUGAAAGAUGGUUUCGGCUAUCACUUUAGGAUGGACCCGCGGUGCAUUAGUUAGUUGGUGAGGUAAAGGCUCACCAAGACCGUGAUGCAUAGCCGACCUGAGAGGGUAAUCGGCCACACUGGGACUGAGACACGGCCCAGACUCCUACGGGAGGCAGCAGUAGGGAAUCUUCCACAAUGGACGAAAGUCUGAUGGAGCAACGCCGCGUGAGUGAAGAAGGUUUUCGGAUCGUAAAACUCUGUUGUUGGAGAAGAAUGUAUCUGAUAGUAACUGAUCAGGUAGUGACGGUAUCCAACCAGAAAGCCACGGCUAACUACGUGCCAGCAGCCGCGGUAAUACGUAGGUGGCAAGCGUUGUCCGGAUUUAUUGGGCGUAAAGCGAGCGCAGGCGGUUUCUUAAGUCUGAUGUGAAAGCCUUCGGCUCAACCGAAGAAGUGCAUCGGAAACUGGGAAACUUGAGUGCAGAAGAGGACAGUGGAACUCCAUGUGUAGCGGUGAAAUGCGUAGAUAUAUGGAAGAACACCAGUGGCGAAGGCGGCUGUCUGGUCUGUAACUGACGCUGAGGCUCGAAAGCAUGGGUAGCAAACAGGAUUAGAUACCCUGGUAGUCCAUGCCGUAAACGAUGAGUGCUAGGUGUUGGAGGGUUUCCGCCCUUCAGUGCCGCAGCUAACGCAUUAAGCACUCCGCCUGGGGAGUACGACCGCAAGGUUGAAACUCAAAGGAAUUGACGGGGGCCCGCACAAGCGGUGGAGCAUGUGGUUUAAUUCGAAGCAACGCGAAGAACCUUACCAGGUCUUGACAUCCUUUGACCACUCUAGAAAAAAAAGCUUUCCCUUCGGGGACAAAGUGACAGGUGGUGCAGGGUUGUCGUCAGCUCGUGCCGGGAAAGUUGGGUUAAGUCCCGCAACGAGGCCACCCUUAUUACUAUUGCCAGCUUUAGUUGGGCCUUUU